ACUGAAAGCCAUCCAAUAGGUAUAUAUAUAUAAGAUUAAUUUUUUAAGCUACUUCCAACUGUCCACGUUGCUUUUGGGUCAAGCCUUUGAACAUUGUUGUUGGUAAUCAAUUCAGCAUUUGACCGAGGCCUGUGAAAUUAUAUUCAAUGUUUAUAUCAAAACUCGGGAUUUAUUGGGUAUCAAAACGCAACACAAAUGUUGGUAUAUCAACUCUAACAUAAAUACGUACGUGUGCGAACUUUAUCAAGUUUGUCAAAGCUUGCCUAGCAAUCAUUGUUCACUCUUAGCACAAUGAACUGUCACCCUAUAAUUUUUCUAGGGUAGGGGAUAAAGGGUAUAUCUGCCAGACCAUCAAGAUCUAAUCACCAUAUAUGUUCAUAAAAUAAACAUGAGUUCUUUUUUCUAAUUUCAGCUUCAAUUCUUGCUUCCUCGAAACUUAUAGCGGUCUCUUUUACUUCUCUAAGAUACUUUUGUUUCUUUCACAGUCUUUCUGGCAACAAAGGCUUGUGUGGUGUACCAUCUUUGCCUGAUUGUCCACUAUUUUGGGGGAAAAAUGGCUUAUCUACUGGUGGCAAAGUUGCUAUCGGUCUUGCCUGUCUAUUUUUAUUAUCGGUGCUGCUGCUUGGGAUGUACUAUUGUUGUGUGUGGAGGAGGCGCAAUGACUAUGACUUUGGUCUACCUCAUGAACUAAUGUCUCUUGCUGCAAAGAGAAACAGAUAUCACAGGCAGAAAUCCUUGAUGACCCUUGAAAUGGAGAGUCAACACGCCAAAGGAUUUAUGCCAACUUACGGUUCAAAUUAAUUAGCAUUUUCUAGUAAAGGAGAACAAAAAUUUUGUUAGGGAUCAGCUCACCAAGACGUUGUAGAUAAGAACGUUGACUGUAUUGAUACGACGUGCACAGAAUACUGUGUUAAAGAGUAGCACCAUGGCUUGAGAGAAGAUAUGCCCUUCCUGGGAAUUUGGCUCCAAUCAAUUGUACGAGGAUGGUGGGGUCAUGGAAAACCAGUGUAUCUGUAGAGAAAAAUGAAUCUCAGUGUAUACAUGGAUAAAAGAACAUAAGCAAAUUUCCCUUGUAUUACUACCAGUUUUUUUCUUUUUAUACUUCUAGAUAAAUUCGAUUGAUGCUCAUAAUUGUGGUUGAGAUUCUAGACGGACCCAAAUUUGGAAUUGUUCUGGUGUCAAUAGUGUCACCAGGUACUCUUAUUCGGAUUUUAUAUCUAAACAGUUUUACAAUUGCA